AUGGGUGUGCAUUUGUCCCCAAAAGAGAUCCAGAGUGCAAUGGAUCUUGUCACAGUGGGCGAUGAUGGAAAAGUAGAUUUGAACGAAUUUAUGAAUUCAAUGCAAUAUAAUCAGAAUUACGCCCAACUUGAUGGUAAGAAAAUUUUAACUAAGGUGGCUUAAAGAAUUUUCACUGUCCACCCUAUUCAACUUUUCUCCACUAAGAAUUAUAUGUUUUUUAAAAAUCUCCCCCAAAGGAACUUUCAACCUAUAGCUAUUUCCACUAAAGUAGAUGCCAACUUAAAUGCAUUAUUUCUUCUAUGGCAGCACCUAAAGUUUAAAAAUGAAAACAAAAAACAAGCUCUUUGUCAAAUGAGAUGGUCUAGCUGACAUGGCUUAACCCAAACUGAAAUGGAACAUGUCUAUAAGUUUCUUUAACUCAGUAAAAUAACCAUAACCUAGUUAAGAGAUAGUUUCAGAAUUAUACAAUUAAAAGUGAAUAUAGUGAAAGAAAUCUUUAGAACUGUGAACCUCCCCCAUCUUUCAGGCACACUGACCUACCAAAUCAUAAGCUCUCAGAGCUAGAAAGGGGAACCUCAGGGGUGAUCUGGUCCAACAUGAACAUCAUGAAUAAUG
rnacentral:lncRNA from 1 species